rnacentral:lncRNA from 1 species
UAGGCAGGAGUCAUUUUUAACCAUGCUAGGAUUUCCUACACGAAGAAUAUCAUUUAACUUGUCACAUUGCUGACGCAUACUGUACCUAUGAGCAGUUGAUCACUGUUGAUCAGUGUUUCUCAGUGGGAGUGCCAUUGGCAUUUGGAGCUGGGCAAUUCUUUGUUUACAGAAAUGUUCCCUGCAUUGCAAGAUGUUUUAUAUCCUAAGCCCCUGCUGACUAAAUGCCAGUAGCAUGCCCAGUCACUGUAAAACCCAAAAGUCAGAAGCACUCCUUCAUGUUCAAAGGCCCUUCUAAGGCAGUACCACCUCCCUUGAGUUCUACUGUCUGCAAUUUGAGAACACACAGGGUAAAGUACCUAUUUUAAAACAUGGUCACUACUGUCUUGCAUUACUCUGUGCCCUGAAUAGUUUCUUCCCCCUUUAUUUUUCAAGCCUUCUGCUUCAGUGAAGCUUUAAUUUGCCAGGUCUUCAGGGAGGACGUUGCUGGGCAGCCUUGGCAGUUUCAAUGGGCGUAGUCACUUGGCUAGUCCCUGUAUGUACUUACAGGAGAAAUUUCAAAUGAAGCAAACUUUCUUUUUCCUAUUUUGACCUCAUAGUUUUACCUAAGAACUACACUGGUUUGUCACAAUCUUUGUUAGUGUCAUGAGGAUUAUUGCAUGGCUUAACCCCAAAUACAACUAACAAUCCACAUAAACAAAACCAGUGGUCCAUGAAAAUCACUGUUAGAUUUCAACUUGUAAGGUACAUCCUUUAAAUUACAAAGCAAUCACCUAUUUAUCCUAUUAAAGAAACAUUUAACCCACAUGUAAAUGCUUGAAUUCUUCCUGUAUAACUCUAGUCACACAGUUCAACUUUGCUAAAAUUUGUGAACACUGAAGGAAGCAUGGAUAACUGGAUUGCAUGCAUAUUGUUCAUACUUCAAUGAUGGUCAUAACAAGAUGAUUUUUUUCCUACUUGAAACAUGAUUGAACUAUGCUAACAGUACAUAUGCAUACUUAUUCUCUGUUGCUUUUUAUCACCAAAACUGAAUGGCAAAUACGUAUUGAAAUGAUUUGGAUGAAUUGUGGCUCAUAGAAUGGAAGAGUUUAGCCACUAUAAUUUUUCAAAAUACUAAAAUUUCUAGAUCUGUUUUUCGAGACAGAGCAAUUCGGAGUUGAUAAAGGAAGUUAUAUUGUGAACUUUUAGAUGGUGCUUAAGAAUUCUUACCUUGUUAAAUACCAGUAUUUUUUUUUUCUUUUUAAGAAUAAAUUAAAGGGAGUAAAUGAAGCAGAAUGCCACUCCACCCUCAGGUCAAUUUCAUGGUAUACUAAAAUGCCAAUAAUAUUUGUGCCACUUGCCAAAUUAGGGGACUUUUCCCUUACUGGAUGCUUUUGUCACAGUUUGUAUCAUUACAUUGCUUAGAGAGAUUCCACAAAAAGAUGUCACCUUUGCAGUGCUAACUAGCAUUUGAAAAAAAAUCUGAAUAAACCUAGGGUCAAACCACUUUCAUUACUUAAAAUAUAGGCACGAAUUUUUAUUUUUAUUUUUUUAAUAUUUCUUCUGUGGCUUAGAAAUGUGCCAAUGUGUUCAAAACAUUCUGCACCAAUUUCACGAGAUUUAGUACCUAGCAAAAACUCAAACUUGUCAUUUUUUUCUAUGUAAGUGAUUUUUAAAGAACUAUAUGUAUUCUUUUGUUAUUUCACUUUGGUUAAAAUGGUUAAGAAUGGUAAGCUGUGACCAUUAUCAGACUGACUGAAUGAUUCCUGAUUUCCAGUAAGUGAUCUAAUUCUACAUAUUACACAGGUACAAUAUCUGUGGGUGUAAAUAACUGGAACUGUACACUGAUUAACAUGACAGUUUCUCUUUUUUUGUUAUUAUUGAUCUGUACUGUAUUAUAGUAUGUGGGUAUAAAUACCUACAAGUAUACACAGAUAUGUAUAUGUAUUCCACUAUUGUAACCUGAAAGACAGACUAUGUAUUAUCUUUUUUUAUUCCUUACUGGUGUUUGUGUUAUUUAAAAAGCAAAAUUAUGCUCUAUUUAGUUGUAUAUUAUAGGAUACUUUGCUGUGCACAAUUCCAAGUGCCUUAGAAUAUUGUUUAGCUUUCUUAAGUAUAUAUAAAUGCAUAUAUGUAUAAAAUUGGGAAAAGUUACCUCAAUAAAAUUAUUGGGAAAUCCCCAA